UCAGAACUGUUAGACAACAGAACAGAGGUGACUUUGAAGAAUAAACUGUACUGAUUUGCUAAACCAAAAAUUCUGAAAAUUUUAUGGUAAAAAUAUAUAUGAGUCUAGUUUCAGGGAAAAUUAACGGAUCUUAAUUUGGAGUUCCGUAUCUCAAGUUAUAAAUAAUUUAGUGACUAUGACUCAAGUAGACAGCUUUGAAUGAACUAUAAAUAAUAGUUGAAUUAUAGAGAAUGUUGCAUAUGAACAUGAAAUGUAUUAAGUUGAUAAUUAAAUUUAUUUAUUUAGAUCCAGAAGAUUCAAAUACGAAGCUAGAUCGAGGAAAGGAAAAAGUUCGGGAUUAAUAGAGUUUUACUGUUUACAAACAAGUAUCAAGGUAAGUUCAUGUAACUUGAAUUAUAUUCUUAAAUGCUUGAAAUGCAUGUUUUUGAUAUGAAUAUGAUUUGAAUGUUCAUUGUAUGAAAAUUUAUGAAACAUUGAUAUAUUUGAUAAAAUGGGAAGAAAUCUCGUUUGAAUGAAAGGAAAAUUCGAUGGAUCUCUGAAAAGGAAUUGACGGUAAAAAGGAUCUAGCCCGGACGAGUGAUCCUAUCCUGAUAUAGCCCUCCCGAAGAAUAUGUGUAAAAUGGAUUUAGCCCGGACGGGUAAUCCGAAUUAGGGUCUGAAUUUAGCCUGGACUGGUAAUUCAGAUCCAAGCUCAUUAGAGUAAUUGUCGUUGCAGGGGAUUUAGCCUGGACUGGUAAUCCCGACAAUACUCUAUGAGUUUAUAUUGCAGGAGAUUUAGCCUGGACUGGUAAUCCCGCUGCAAGGUUGAGGUUCGCAGGAGUGUGCUCUCUGAAAUGGAAAUGUGCGCACAUGAAUAUGAAUUGACGGACCCGGAAUUGUACACUAAAAGUGUACCUCUGAAAAUCCAUCGAAAUUUCGAUAAAUUCAACGGGAUAAAUAUGAAAAAUAAUAAGGGAAUGAAAAUCAUGGUAUUGAUGAGUACAUCAAUCAUGGUAUAUAUAUUGUUGAGUUUGUGCAUGUUAGGGUAAUAAUGCAUUGAAUGGAUAUAUGAAUGUUUAUUAUAUUGUAUUGAAAACAUUAGGUAAGUAUAAUUCUUGUUACAUGAGCUUACUAAGCACAAAGUGCUUACCCCGUUUCCUUUUUCCCUGUUUUGUAGUGUUAAGAGCUCGGAGGUCGGAUUUGGUCAGAGACAC
rnacentral:lncRNA from 1 species